rnacentral:misc_RNA from 1 species
AACGCACCUUGCGCUCCUUGGUAUUCCUCGGAGCAUGCCUGUCUGAGUAUCAUGAAAUUAUCAAGAUAAAUCUUUCGUUCGCUCGAUCGAUUGUAUUUUGGACUUGGGGGUCUGCAGAUUCACGUCUGCUCCCCUUAAAUUCAUUAGCUGGAUCACAGUAGACUCGGUUCCACUCGGCGUGAUAAGUAUCACUCGCUGAGGACACUCGUAAAAAAGGUGGCCGGGACUAUUAGAGAACCGCUUCUAAUAGUCAAUUAGCUUAGACAAUUUAUUUAUGAUCUGAUCUCAAAUCAGGUAGGACUACCCGCUGAACUUAA